rnacentral:lncRNA from 1 species
GUCAGGUCUACUUGACUGGUGCAGAUGCAUAACCCUAUUCGACUUGGAGUAGGAGACAGACUCCUACUCCAUCUUGAUUUCUAAUAGGAGCUAGAAAACCUAGCUUCCAUCAGUUAUUUAAAGACCCCCAAUGCCCUCUUCACUUCACAACCGAGAAGUUUUGCCAAUCACCAUUAUUAGACCACCGUUUGUUCCUUCUCCUUUUUUUGACUUCCAAUGGUCUUGGUUUACGGUGCUCGCUGAAGAUUUUAGCUAAACACUCACCAAAGAUUUAGGUUUCGAGAGAAAUUUUGAAAUUAAUUGGAUCUAUUAGUUGGAUUGUGCUCGUAAGAUAAGUAAUGUGACUCUUUUUCUAAAAUUAUCAAUAAAUUAUAAAUAUUUUUUGAAUCGAAUAAUUCUUGAUCUAUAAACUUGGUAUAUAGUAUUUUAUUAUUAUAUAUGUUUUUUUUGGAAUAUUGUAUGAUUCUUGGUCGAAUGUAUUAGUUUCGAUAUGGAUUAUGCUUGAUGGAUUUCUCUAUCAUAAGAUUUAUGUAUCUUACAUUUUGAAACACUAAACACACAUAUGAGAAAAAGAGUUUUGAUCCAAAAUAGAUUUGGACUCUCAACUAGACUAUAUUUUGCUAUUCUGCCAAUGGGGGUUGUAUAUUAUCAUUUUGAUAUCCUUCCAGUAGGGCUUGUACAUUGGUACUUCGAUACUUUGCUAGUUGGGAUUAUAUGUUGAUACUUCGAUACUCUGCUAGCGGGGGUUAUAUGUUGUCACUUUGAUACCCUGUCAUUGAGAAUUAUGCGGCGGCACUUUGAUAUGGUCAUGUUCAUUGCUGUCGAGAUGCACUUGAUAUUUUGAAAGAAAUUGAUUUAUAAAUAAAAUUUAAAAUUUGCAAUGAUUGGAUAGUAUUUAGAUAUGGUUUUGAAUUGAUGUACUUUGCAUGAUUAUUUUUAGUAUAUUAAUUAUUUAUCAUAUUGCUUGGUUUAUUUAGCUAAAAUGUUUAUUGCUUACUGGGCUAUCUAGCUCAUUAUUCAAUACUCUACUAUUUUUACAAAUUUGGAGAAAUAGCUUGAUCUGAGGAUUUGUUAUAGGAGAGUAACUAGAGACAAAAUUUUUAUAUUUUUAUUUAGACUAGAUUUUUGUUAGAGUUGAUGCAAGAUUUUUUAUUAUUGUUUAGUUUUAUGAGAUAUUAAAUUUUGAUGUAGUUAUUUCCAUAAAAGGUUGAACGUUAGUUAUUUAAAUUUAUUCCGUUAUUUGCUUAUGAUAUAUUAUUGAGAUGCCUUGCAUGAUUAUGGAAAAAGUUUAUUGAUGAGCAUGCA